UACGUAGGGUGCAAGCGUUGUCCGGAAUUAUUGGGCGUAAAGAGCUCGUAGGCGGUCUGUCGCGUCCGCUGUGAAAGCCCGGGGCUUAACCCCGGGUCGGCAGUGGAUACGGGCAGGCUAGAGGUAGGUAGGGGAGAAUGGAAUUCCCGGUGUAGCGGUGAAAUGCGCAGAUAUCGGGAGGAACACCGGUGGCGAAGGCGGGUCUCUGGGCCGAUACUGACGCUGAGGAGCGAAAGCGUGGGGAGCGAACAGG
rnacentral:rRNA from 1 species